rnacentral:lncRNA from 7 species
AGUCUUGUCUGGAGUUCUUUGCCUGCCUGAGGAUUGCGUGGGACUUUUUAAGGUAUUUUUCCACUUUUUAAAAACUGUAAAGUGCCAGGAAAAUUUAACCUACCCAAGCAAAGGAAAUCUUAUCCCUCAAAUCUGUGCAGUGCACCUUUUUACCCAGAUCUGAAGAUUCAACUUCUCAGUAUGUGAAGAGUGAGAUUAAGCCAUGCAAGGUUUGAAAAUGCAAUAGCGUGGAACUAAUUAGAUCUAAUAAUCACAGCUGAUGUAGGGAGCACUGCAGCCUCAAUCCUCCCCAGGCAGGGAUAAGCAAGAAGCUCCCUCUCUGAAGGGAGUGAGGAAUGGGUGGACUUGGGCAGGAGCAAGAGCCAAGUCAAUGCAAAACCUGGGAGAACUGUGACCACUGCACUUUGAAGGAAACCAAUAGUCAAGUGGCUCAAGAGCAUUCCAGUAUGUGAACAAAAGCCAUGGAACGUGUCGCAGAAAUGGGUAACAGAAGGCUCUGACUCAUCAUGUGGAACUGUAAUUUAAGACCAAGAGGGAUUUUUCUAUCUUGGAUCUAUUCCUACUGGCUCAGAUGUCUCAUAAGCCUUUAGCACCUAGUUUUAAUAGAGCCAGUGCCUACAAUUGAGAAAUGAGUUGGAUCCGAGGAGCAAAAUACUACUUGUCUCAAAAAUAUCUUCCAGCUAGAGCUGAGGUAACUGUGUGUUGAGGAGCUAUCAUUGACCUUUACUAAAUUUGAUUUUCUGGAUUUAGCGAAGUCUCAGCUCCCUAAGCAGAAAUAUACUUAGCGAAGCCCUGGGGAGCAGCUGCAGCGUAGGCACCGCAGUGCUUCCCCCUCAGUGCAGCUCUGGCAGCAGGAACUGCUGAGAAUGGAGUGUGAGAGGUCGCUGCUGCCUGGUGUCAGUCUGAAGAAGUCUUUUUCUUUGUGUCAAAUCAAAUCUGGAGUGAAGUAACUUCAGAAUAUUCCACCUAAGCUUGGUUUGCAGACAGUACUGAUAAGGCUGCAGGAGUUCACCUAUCUUCAAGAUUUAUAUAGUAUUCUUCUGAUAAAUAUUUUCAAACCUCAUCAGUCUGUCCAGCCCUUUGAACACAUAAUGCAUGUGUAUUUAUCCAAAGGGCUGGGUUUUGGAACUAUGUGAUUGUCAUUCUCAUCUUUCCAAGAUGCAAUCUCCAGCUUGUUUCAAGUCUUUAGCAGAAGUUCUAAAAAUAUGCAUCAGCUACAUAUAGGAGCUUUUUUUGGGCAAACAAUCUGUCUGUAUAAAUGUAGACUGUCUCAAACAUGGAGACACAGAAUGCUCCACGUGAGGGAAAAGCAAAACCACUUGUUCGUACAUUUGCAGUAUCUGAGCAUCCUAUAGGUAGACUGAUAUAAGUUGGGGCCCACUGUGCUGUCCAGAAAUAGAUGGGCAAGAGGCUGGUUUGUGUGAGGGUAAGAAAGACUUAAAAUAGUAUUUAAAAACAAAUCUGAUUCACAAAGGCUUGUCACUUCUGCUGUACUCAGUGAAGAUGAGGAGAUGAUAUUUUGGCCCUAAACAGCUGAUGACAACUUCUUGCUUGCUCCUGGAUGUGAAUGACCAAGUUGUGCUGGACAUACAAGGGUGAGGUGCUUCCUUGGGUGCUUCCUAGGUUCUAUUAGAAACAGAUGGGUAUUUCAUAACUUCUGCUGGGGAAGAAGAGAAGGAGCCUUAAGCUAGGCAUUUACAGCUCAGUCAGAUCUGCAAAGUCCAGUCCUCAUGCGAGCAGCUGGAUGUACUAUGGGAUGGCUUCUGACAGCCUUCAUAGAACUGCACUGCUGUGACACAGAUCUGUUAACAGCACAGCUUUAAUUAAAAAGCAUGGAAAUCACAAUGGAAUUCUAGUUUUGACCCUCAGUGAGAUCUGACUAAUUUAGUGAGCUCCCAGAGAAAACAGUAUUCCCCUUGGGAUUUGCACAGCAGAGUUUGGAAAUAAAGUGAAAGAGUGAUUU